UUUUUUUUUGAUUGCAAAAAAAAAUAAUGAAGCCAAAAAUAUCAGCACCAAAGCAUUAUAUGAGAAAACAAGUCUUACAAUAAUGAUGAAACCAUUUCUUAUUAAUAAUUGUCGAAACCGACUACAACUAAACACAAUGUGACAUCAAGCCACUUUACCUAGCGAGUUGCUCGGGUCUAAGCUCUUCAAAUGAGUAUUUCCCUCCAUGCAAUUUAAUAAGGAUCCUGCAGGAAUACAAACACAAGAUCAGAACGUUUUUAUAAAUAUUUUUUUUUUUUUAAUUUAAUGAAAAGAAGAACAAUAAAGUGUUUGUAUGUGAUUUUUUUUUA